UGAGUGUUAUGAUGAUGGAGUCUUGUGCUCUUAGUCUAGCUCUGGUCUACCGCUAGGAUUUCGGUCCUAGCGG
rfam:Streptococcus pneumoniae 2070335 gspj15.contig.2, whole genome shotgun sequence.